UAAAAUUUAAAAUUAAAAUACUAAAAUAGUAAAUAAUUAUUUAUUGAAACUUAAAUGAUUUGGCGGUAUUUUAGUUCAUUUAGAGGAAUCUGUUUAAUAAUUGAUAUUCCACGAAUAAACUUACUUAAUUUAUAAUUUUGUAUAUCGUUGUUAAAAAAAUAUUUUUUAAUAAAAUUAAUAUUUAAAAAUUAUUAUAUAAAUUUAAAUCAGAUCAAGAUGCAGAUUAUAAUUAAGAAUAUAAUGGAUUACAAUAAAUUUAUUUAAAUGAAUAUUAAUUUGUAAAAAUUAUUUGAAAGUGGAUUUAAAUGUAAUUUUAUUUAAUUUAAUAAGGUGAUUAAUAAUUAAGAUAUGU
rnacentral:rRNA from 1 species